AGAAGGAAAGGGAAAAAAAAAAAAAAAACUUUUGUAGUGAUAAUCAGGAUGGUCCAUUUCAAACAGUUGGCAAGCAGGUCUGAGUAACAGUAGAGGAAAAAUUAGCAAGGGAAAAUAGGUUUUACUUUGUGUAAUGACCCAUCCACUCACAGUCUUUAUUCAAGACUAAUUAA